GAACUUUUGAAUAUCUGGAGUAAGCAUUGGCCUUACUGAAACUUCCCAACAAGUGGAGAGAGCAUCAUGGUAGACAGUUGAGAAAACUGAGGUUCAAACGAUAAGAAAUUUGCUUCGAGUUAUGCAGGUAGAAAAGUCCCUGACACUGGGAAAGAUUGAGGGCCGGAAGCAAAGGGGGCAACAGAGGACGAGAUGGUUGGAUGACAUCACUGACUCAAUGGACAUGAGUUUGAACAAACUCCGAGAGACGAUGAAGGACAGGGAAGCCUGGUGUGCUGCAGUCCAUGGAGUUGCAAAGAGUUGGCCACAACUUAGUGUUUGAAAAAUACCAAAUGCAGAUAGCAACUCGUGAACAGGUGUUACUGUGUCUUUGUCUUCUGGAAACCACUUUGAGACAAUUUUUGGAUAUCCUCACUAACAACCUUAAAUCCUCAAAUUUGAAUUUCUACAGGAACAAACAAAAACACGAACUACUUGAUACAUUGAAAUGCUGUUAUGGACCAGACACAGAGCUGAGGGCUUUUGCCUGUGUUUUACAUUUAAACCUCCCCAGACACUAAUAUGUGGGCGCUACCGUUUCUUUAUUUGGCAGGGGCUAAAGUUUAAGAAUACAGGCUUCCCGGGUGGCUCUGUGGUAAAGAAUCUGCCUGCCAACGCAGGAGACGCAGGAGACAUGGGUUCAAUCCCUGGGUCAGGAAGAUCCCCUGGAGAAGGAAAUGGCAACCCGCUUCAGUAUUUCUUGCCUGAAAACUUCCAUGAACAGAGAAGUCUGGCAGGCUGCGGUCUGUGAGGUCACAAAGAAUUGAACAUGACUGAGCGACUCAGAGUGCACACACAAAGGGUAAGAAAAUCACCCACUGCUCCCCUGUCUAGGAAAGGGCCGGUCACAUUUCAAAUCCAGAAGCAGCUGUCUCCAAGACCAUGAACCACUGUUUCCUUCUGUUUUCUUAAAUGGUGAGACAAAUGCCUCUAGAACCAGGGACAUGGGUUCAGUCCCUGGCCUGGGAAGAUCCCACAUGUCUUGGAGCAACUAAGCCUGUGUGCCACAACUAUCGAGCCCACACACUGCAGCUGUGGAAGCCCACAGACUAGAGCCUGUGCUCCACGACAAUGAGAAGCCCAGGAACCACAAUGAAGAGUGGCCCCCACUCACUGCAACCAGAGAAAGCCCAGGCACAGAGACCCAC
ensembl:lncRNA